rnacentral:rRNA from 1 species
CAGCAGCCGCCGCGGUAAUACGAAGGGUGCAAGCGUUACUCGGAAUUACUGGGCGUAAAGCGUGCGUAGGUGGUGGUUUAAGUCCGUUGUGAAAGCCCUGGGCUCAACCUGGGAAUUGCAGUGGAUACUGGGUCACUAGAGUGUGGUAGAGGAUAGUGGAAUUUCCGGUGUAGCAGUGAAAUGCGUAGAGAUCGGAAGGAACAUCUGUGGCGAAGGCGACUAUCUGGGCCAACACUGACACUGAGGCACGAAAGCGUGGGGAGCAAACAGGAUUAGAGACCCCCGUAGUCCCUGUCUCUUAUAC